rnacentral:sRNA from 1 species
AAACUGACAUUCUGGGAUAUUUAUUUUAUUGUGCCCUGCAUUAUUAUAAAUUUAUAAAGUUAUUUAGGAGAUUAAUGUUCAGAAAUCUGAUGCAGAUGAACUUUUGAUAAUGAAUUGCUGUUUCAUUUAAUGAUUUGUGAUAUUGUGGCUAGAUAGUUAUUUUUAAUAUUUAUUAAGAUAUAUUUUUUUUAUAUAUAAAAAAAUGAAAUAGUAAAAGAAAUAUAUUGGUUGUCCAUCUUCACUUUUAGAUGCAAUAAAUCUUUAGUAUACACAUCAUAUAUCAUACCUAUUUGUAUAUACAUGUAUACAAAUCAUUUGUAAUUAUAUAAGAUUUGUAAAGAUUGUUAAGUUUGGAUUUAAGAAUCUCUUCAGAUGAACAAUGUGAAUAAAAAUAUGGUAAUGUU